rnacentral:rRNA from 1 species
UGAACUGCGGAAGGACAUUA